GGAAUAUUGGACAAUGGGCGCAAGCCUGAUCCAGCCAUGCCGCGUGAGUGAUGAAGGCCUUAGGGUUGUAAAGCUCUUUUGUCCGGGACGAUAAUGACGGUACCGGAAGAAUAAGCCCCGGCUAACUUCGUGCCAGCAGCCGCGGUAAUACGAAGGGGGCUAGCGUUGCUCGGAAUCACUGGGCGUAAAGGGCGCGUAGGCGGCCAUUCAAGUCGGGGGUGAAAGCCUGUGGCUCAACCACAGAAUUGCCUUCGAUACUGUUUGGCUUGAGUUUGGUAGAGGUUGGUGGAACUGCGAGUGUAGAGGUGAAAUUCGUAGAUAUUCGCAAGAACACCAGUGGCGAAGGCGGCCAACUGGACCAACACUGACGCUGAGGCGCGAAAGCGUGGGGAGCAAACAGGAUUAGAUACCCUAG
rnacentral:rRNA from 1 species